rnacentral:tRNA from 1 species
CGGGCGCAUAGCUCAGCGGAAGAGCACUACGUUGACAUCGUAGGGGUCGCUGGUUCAAUCCCCGCGGCACACGUC